GGGCGCACGGUGGAUGCCUUGACACUAGGAGUCGAUGAAGGACGGGACUAACGCCGAUAUGCUUCGGGGAGCUGUAAGUAAGCUUUGAUCCGAAGAUUUCCGAAUGGGGAAACCCACCAUACGUAAUGGUAUGGUAUCCUUAUCUGAAUACAUAGGGUAAGGAAGACAGACCCAGGGAACUGAAACAUCUAAGUACCUGGAGGAAGAGAAAGCAAAUGCGAUUUCCUGAGUAGCGGCGAGCGAAACGGAACAUAGCCCAAACCAAGAGGCUUGCCUCUUGGGGUUGUAGGACAUUCUAUACGGAGUUACAAAGGAACGAGGUAGACGAAGCGACCUGGAAAGGUCCGUCGUAGAGGGUAACAACCCCGUAGUCGAAACUUCGUUCUCUCUUGAAUGUAUCCUGAGUACGGCGGAACACGUGAAAUUCCGUCGGAAUCUGGGAGGACCAUCUCCCAAGGCUAAAUACUCCCUAGUGAUCGAUAGUGAACCAGUACCGUGAGGGAAAGGUGAAAAGCACCCCGGAAGGGGAGUGAAAGAGAUCCUGAAACCGUGUGCCUACAAAUAGUCAGAGCCCGUUAACGGGUGAUGGCGUGCCUUUUGUAGAAUGAACCGGCGAGUUACGAUCCCGUGCGAGGUUAAGCUGAAGAGGCGGAGCCGCAGCGAAAGCGAGUCUGAAUAGGGCGUUUAGUACGUGGUCGUAGACCCGAAACCAGGUGAUCUACCCAUGUCCAGGGUGAAGUUCAGGUAACACUGAAUGGAGGCCCGAACCCACGCACGUUGAAAAGUGCGGGGAUGAGGUGUGGGUAGCGGAGAAAUUCCAAUCGAACCUGGAGAUAGCUGGUUCUCCCCGAAAUAGCUUUAGGGCUAGCCUUAAGUGUAAGAGUCUUGGAGGUAGAGCACUGAUUGGACUAGGGGUCCUCAUCGGAUUACCGAAUUCAGUCAAACUCCGAAUGCCAAUGACUUAUCCUUAGGAGUCAGACUGCGAGUGAUAAGAUCCGUAGUCAAAAGGGAAACAGCCCAGACCGCCAGCUAAGGUCCCAAAGUGUGUAUUAAGUGGAAAAGGAUGUGGAGUUGCUUAGACAACUAGGAUGUUGGCUUAGAAGCAGCCACCAUUUAAAGAGUGCGUAAUAGCUCACUAGUCGAGUGACUCUGCGCCGAAAAUGUACCGGGGCUAAAUACACCACCGAAGCUGCGGAUUGAUACCAAUGGUAUCAGUGGUAGGGGAGCGUUCUAAGGACAGUGAAGUCAGACCGGAAGGACUGGUGGAGUGCUUAGAAGUGAGAAUGCCGGUAUGAGUAGCGAAAGACGGGUGAGAAUCCCGUCCACCGAAUGCCUAAGGUUUCCUGAGGAAGGCUCGUCCGCUCAGGGUUAGUCAGGACCUAAGCCGAGGCCGACAGGCGUAGGCGAUGGACAACAGGUUGAUAUUCCUGUACCACCUCUUUAUCGUUUGAGCAAUGGAGGGACGCAGAAGGAUAGAAGAAGCGUGCGAUUGGUUGUGCACGUCCAAGCAGUUAGGCUGAUAAGUAGGCAAAUCCGCUUAUCGUGAAGGCUGAGCUGUGAUGGGGAAGCUCCUUAUGGAGCGAAGUCUUUGAUUCCCCGCUGCCAAGAAAAGCUUCUAGCGAGAUAAAAGGUGCCUGUACCGCAAACCGACACAGGUAGGCGAGGAGAGAAUCCUAAGGUGUGCGAGAGAACUCUGGUUAAGGAACUCGGCAAAAUGACCCCGUAACUUCGGGAGAAGGGGUGCUUUCUUAACGGAAAGCCGCAGUGAAUAGGCCCAAGCGACUGUUUAGCAAAAACACAGCUCUCUGCGAAGCCGUAAGGCGAAGUAUAGGGGGUGACACCUGCCCGGUGCUGGAAGGUUAAGGAGAGGGGUUAGCGUAAGCGAAGCUCUGAACUGAAGCCCCAGUAAACGGCGGCCGUAACUAUAACGGUCCUAAGGUAGCGAAAUUCCUUGUCGGGUAAGUUCCGACCCGCACGAAAGGUGUAACGAUUUGGGCACUGUCUCAACCAGAGACUCGGUGAAAUUAUAGUACCUGUGAAGAUGCAGGUUACCCGCGACAGGACGGAAAGACCCCGUGGAGCUUUACUGUAGCCUGAUAUUGAAUUUUGGUACAGUUUGUACAGGAUAGGCGGGAGCCUUUGAAACCGGAGCGCUAGCUUCGGUGGAGGCGCUGGUGGGAUACCGCCCUGACUGUAUUGAAAUUCUAACCUACGGGUCUUAUCGACCCGGGAGACAGUGUCAGGUGGGCAGUUUGACUGGGGCGGUCGCCUCCUAAAGUGUAACGGAGGCGCCCAAAGGUUCCCUCAGAAUGGUUGGAAAUCAUUCGUAGAGUGCAAAGGCAUAAGGGAGCUUGACUGCGAGACCUACAAGUCGAGCAGGGACGAAAGUCGGGCUUAGUGAUCCGGUGGUUCCGCAUGGAAGGGCCAUCGCUCAACGGAUAAAAGCUACCCCGGGGAUAACAGGCUUAUCUCCCCCAAGAGUCCACAUCGACGGGGAGGUUUGGCACCUCGAUGUCGGCUCAUCGCAUCCUGGGGCUGUAGUCGGUCCCAAGGGUUGGGCUGUUCGCCCAUUAAAGCGGUACGCGAGCUGGGUUCAGAACGUCGUGAGACAGUUCGGUCCCUAUCCGUCGUGGGCGUAGGAAAUUUGAGAGGAGCUGUCCUUAGUACGAGAGGACCGGGAUGGACGCACCGCUGGUGUACCAGUUGUUCUGCCAAGGGCAUAGCUGGGUAGCUAUGUGCGGAAGGGAUAAGUGCUGAAAGCAUCUAAGCAUGAAGCCCCCCUCAAGAUGAGAUUUCCCAUAGCGUAAGCUAGUAAGAUCCCUGAAAGAUGAUCAGGUUGAUAGGUUCGAGGUGGAAGCAUGGUGACAUGUGGAGCUGACGAAUACUAAUAGAUCGAGGACUUAACCAU
rnacentral:rRNA from 9 species